rfam:TPA: Bos taurus chromosome 2, whole genome shotgun sequence.
UCCCUGGUGGCUCAGAUGGUAAAGCGUCUGCCUACAAUGCGGGAGACCCGGGUUCAAUCUCUGGGCCGGGAAA